rnacentral:rRNA from 1 species
GGACUACAAGGGUAUCUAAUCCUGUUUGCUCCCCACGCUUUCGCACCUCAGCGUCAGUGCUGGACCAGUUAGCCGCCUUCGCCACUGGUGUUCUUCCCAAUAUCUACGAAUUUCACCUCUACACUGGGAAUUCCACUAACCUCUUCCAGUCUCUAGGUCGCCAGUAUCAAAGGCAGUUCUGGAGUUGAGCUCCAGGAUUUCACCCCUGACUUAGCAACCCGCCUACGUGCGCUUUACGCCCAGUAAUUCCGAACAACGCUAGCCCCCUUCGUAUUACCGCGGCGGCUGGCAC